rnacentral:rRNA from 2 species
UAAGAGCUUGCUCUUAUGAAGUUAGCGGCGGACGGGUGAGUAACACGUGGGUAACCUGCCCAUAAGACUGGGAUAACUCCGGGAAACCGGGGCUAAUACCGGAUAACAUUUUGAACUGCAUGGUUCGAAAUUGAAAGGCGGCUUCGGCUGUCACUUAUGGAUGGACCCGCGUCGCAUUAGCUAGUUGGUGAGGUAACGGCUCACCAAGGCAACGAUGCGUAGCCGACCUGAGAGGGUGAUCGGCCACACUGGGACUGAGACACGGCCCAGACUCCUACGGGAGGCAGCAGUAGGGAAUCUUCCGCAAUGGACGAAAGUCUGACGGAGCAACGCCGCGUGAGUGAUGAAGGCUUUCGGGUCGUAAAACUCUGUUGUUAGGGAAGAACAAGUGCUAGUUGAAUAAGCUGGCACCUUGACGGUACCUAACCAGAAAGCCACGGCUAACUACGUGCCAGCAG